rnacentral:lncRNA from 1 species
AUCUUGUCACUUCUCUAGCCUGAGAGUGACUAGCAUUCAAAAAGGCUAGAAGCAAAUUCAAGACUAUUCCUAUGGUCCAGGGGAGAAAUACCUAAACGGAAGACGCUGAAGAGAAAGAGGAUGAAUUUAGCAAUAGUGAAAUGGUAGAAUUGACGUGAGUUGGUAUUCACUGAAGGCACAGGUAAAGGAAACAGACAGGAGAUGAUGGCUGAGGCCAGAGGGAUAUCGCAGCACCCUCUUUGGACUGAGUGGUUUAAUACGCCCCUGUGAAGAUAGUCAGGCAAAGGAGCCAGAGGAUAUGGUCCCUGAAUACGCAGAAGACACGGGAGUGAGGAAAAGAACAGCUGGAGUUUUGAACUGCCAGCAGACCACUCAGGACAUGCUCCUCCUGACCUGCACCUUCCGUCACAGCUUGGGCCUGCUACCUGGACUCAAGACAGAAAAACAGCCCUGCAGGGAAAAGCGGACAUGACUAGCAACAAAGCCUUUUAAUCAAAAUUUCAUGCCGGAGCCCUCUCUACAAAACAGAUAACAGUGGCGCUGCAGUGGUUGGAGCAGAGCUCAGAGAUCUGCAAGAGCUUUGGUGAUAGGAGCUGUUGGCCUAGGUCUCAAUACCAAACACAUGAAAAACGCCACCAAACGCAGACUGAGGACCCUGUCACAGGGCAUGCCUGACUCUUGGUGGAGUAAAAAGAGCAAGGAUUUCACAGGCAAACUGAUUCCAGUGUCAAGUCUCCCACUUGCUCACUGCGUGCACUGAGGAGGUAAUCAAUAUUCCCAAGCCUCAGUUUCUUCACCUGGGGAAGAGUCAUCCCACAGCUGCCAGGUGAGCCUGCUGUGAGGAUUAACUCAGGCACCCUCAGUGAAUCACGGGUCACAGUGCCCAGCACGCAGUAGGGACUCAGGCCGUUUCCUUCUAGGAGGCCCUUGCCGACCUACAUGCUCUUCUGCUAAGACAGACAUGUUCUUAUCUCCUCAGAGGCUAUAAAUUCCAUUUGUCUUCUUAAGUCCAGUUCAUGCCUUUAGCCCUUGAGGGCUGGCACUACUCCCUCAAACAUUUAGCACUUUCUAUUCAGUUAGCACGACACCAAGACCUUAAAAGCAGCUUGAAAAUAAACUUGAUUCCAAAUAUGAUUUAUAAUGUCCCAAGCAACAGCUCAUUUACCCAAGAAAGCUCCAUCAAUUAUUGACAGAUGUACCCUCGGAGGAGAAAUAGCAUAAAGACUUAGGAGACAGAGGAAAAAAGCAUGCUUCAACCCCUUAAGCCAAUUAUCCAAGGUGAUUUUGAGCAUUAAAUCCUUAGAUAUGCUUAAUUUACUGUCCUUGCCUGUAAGCACAGACAGAAGUGUGAAGAGGGAAAAAAAUGCUAAGCAAUUUAGGACUGCUUUUAAAAACAAAGAAAAAGAACAGCAUAGAGGGAAAAAAUACCCAGGAGGCAGUAAGUGAGUGUUGGACACGUGCGGGCUUGUGGGCUGAGCAUCCCAGGCUUAAACACGCCUUGCCCUCUCAUUGCAAAGCCAGCCCCUCCCCACCUGUCUUUGUUCAGUGCAGAAAUAAUUGCGCUUACCUGCCUCUGACCUAAUAAUUACAGCAGUGCCUGAUUUUAUUCUCAGCAUGUUUAUUGUGGUCAAAUUUCCUCAGUUUUCAGUGCAAAGGCCUUACUAAGGAUGCUAGCAUUAUUUGCUUUAACAUCAAACUGGUGACAAGGCGAUGUAAGGUUCUGUAAAAAGCCAAGAGGCCAGGGUGCAUCCAGCCUUGGGAGCUUGUAAUCUGCAUUUGACAUGCUGAUGUUCGAAAACCUUGUCAAGACUACAAGGUUUACGUGUGAGGGAAGAAAGGGAGUGCAUGAGGCCAAUAAAUUUGAGGAUGCUAAUCUAUUUCUCCAUAGUUUUCUC